UUCCUGGUGGCUCAGAGGGCACAGCAUCUGCCUGCAAUGCUGGAGACCGGGGUUCGAUCCCUGGCUUGGGAA
rnacentral:tRNA from 1 species